CUUAGUGGUUGAGCCUUUGUACUGCACUUGGAGAAGCCCAAAGUUUGGUUUCCUGCACCCUUGUCUGAUGGUUCACAGCUGCCCAUAAUUCCUGCUCCAGGGGAUGGGCGAGAUUACCGCUAUGUAUUUGCAUUCAUGCAGGCAAAACACUCAUGCAUGAAGUAAUAAAUCUUAAAAAUGGUGGGGCCUGGAGGGCUGUUCUGCAAUUCUGAGUGUUAGGUGCUCUUCCAGAGGGCCAGCGUUUGGCUCCCAGCACCCACAUCAGGUGGCUCACAGCCACAUGUAACUCCAGCUCCAGGGGAUCCAACAUCUGUCCUCUGCUAGCACCUGCACACACAUGAGUACACAUUAAUAAAAAUUUAAUUCUUUAUUACAAAAAUUGCCAUCUUAAUUUUGUGUCACUUGUAUUGGCUGGUUUUGUGUCAACUUGACACAAGCUAGAGUCAUCAGAGAGGAGGAGCCUCACUUGAGGAAAUGCCUCCAUGAGAUCCAGCUGUAAGGUAUUUUCUCAUUUAGUGAUCAGUGGGGGAGGACCCAGCCCAUGGUGGGUGGUGCCAUCCCUGGACUGGUGGUUCUGAGCUCUGUAAGACAGCAGGCUUAGCAAGCCAUGGGAAGCAAACCAGUAAGCAGCUCCCCUCCAUGGCUCUGUAUCAGUGCCUGACUCUAGGUUCCUAUCCUGACUUCCUUCAACAAUGAACAGCAACAUGAAAGUGUACCUGAGGAGGCCAGAAGAGGCGUCAGAUCACCUGGCACUGGAGUUAAAGGUGGCUAUAAGCUGCAUCAUGCUGGAAACUGAGCUUGGGUCCUCUGAAAAAGGAGUCACCUCUCCAACCGCUAUUGCUGAUUUCCUGUGACACUCAGCACCCCCUUGCCCUCCAGGAUUUUGUCACAGCAGCAAGAAAAGCAACAUCCUAAAGUCCGGGGUCGGGGAGAAUCCUUUCCUGUUGCUUAUGGAGACAUUCUGUCUGUGUCUCAUCAUUCAUAACCACUGGGUUAUAUGACCCUUUGAAGGCAAUCAUUUGCAAUGGAAAAGAAACCAC
rnacentral:lncRNA from 1 species